ensembl:misc_RNA Y_RNA Y RNA
AGCUGGUCUGAUGCUAAUGGGUUAUCAAUACUUAUUAAUAUUAGUGUCACUAAAAAGUUGGCAUACAUUCCAGCACUGCUAAACCUGACCGAUUUAUU